rnacentral:lncRNA from 1 species
UUAUUAUUAUUAUUAUUAUUAUUCUGAGUGUAAAGUCUAAACUAUCCCUUGAUUCUACAUUUUCUUUCUCACAAUUUCCAGCUUUCAGCAGAGACAUCUUUUAACAGCAUCUCCAAGUUAUGAGAAGCUUCGUGGCAUAGAUUCAAUUCAGGCUUAGCUCUUUAUUUUCCAAGGUCAGAUUCACAUCAUGUUUUAAUAUUCUAUUUUCAGCUUGGAUUUCCAUGGUCUCUGUACCCUCCUAGAAGACACAUUCAUCCUAAAUUGACUUGGUUUAUUCAGAGAAGCUGAACUGAACAGAAGCAGUGAGGAGAGAAGCAUGCGACCUAGUGGAAAGGGUCCAGGCCUGAGAGUCAGAGGACCUCGGUUCUAAGUCUUGCUCCACUGCCUACUGCUGUGUGACCCUGGGCAAGUUGCUUCACUUCUCUGGAAC